rnacentral:rRNA from 1 species
UACAGAGGGUGCUAGCGUUGUUCGGAUUUACUGGGCGUAAAGCGCACGUAGGCGGAUCGAUCAGUCAGGGGUGAAAUCCCAGGGCUCAACCCUGGAACUGCCUUUGAUACUGUCGAUCUGGAGUAUGGAAGAGGUGAGUGGAAUUCCGAGUGUAGAGGUGAAAUUCGUAGAUAUUCGGAGGAACACCAGUGGCGAAGGCGGCUCACUGGUCCAUUACUGACGCUGAGGUGCGAAAGCGUGGGGAGCAAACAGG